rnacentral:lncRNA from 10 species
GGAAAACUGACUGUAGAAAGACAGAUAGGGCUGGAGCUGUCUGCAGGACUACGGCUCCAGAGGACAUUGGAGAUGAGGAGGCAGCUGCGCCUGCAGGGCAUCCAGGGCUGAGACAGAGGAGGUGGUGGAAGUCUGCAAGUCUGCGCCAAGGAGGUUGUCCGAGCCAAGCAGCAGUCGGUAGGGUCAGAAGACCAUCUACGUACAGUGGGAAAGAGCAAAUAUUGAUACCGAGACCUGGGUUUCUCACUGUCUGAAAAGAGAGUUAAAAUUCAGAAAAAUAAAAACAAGAAAACAAAAACUUAUGGUGUUGGAUUAGAACUGAAAGUCUUAGGGUAACCUCAUAGUUUUGUUUUUCAUAUAGACAGAUGGAUACAGAAAUAUAUGCAAACGUGUAUGUGCAUUUCCUAGUUCUGUCUAUUGAAAAGGCCCAGAAGCAAUGCCAGCCCAGUACAAAUGAGCACACCUGGCAUCCAGGUCUCGAUUUCUAAAUACCAUUCUUCCAUAAAAUAAAUCGGGUACUUUGGGGAAAAAAAAAGCAAAA